rnacentral:rRNA from 1 species
UUGACCUCAAAUCAGGUGGGACUACCCGCUGAACUUAAGCAUAUCAAUAAGCGGAGGAAAAGAAACUAACAAGGAUUCCCUUAGUAACUGCGAGUGAAGUGGGAAGAGCUCAAAUUUGAAAUCUGGCAGUCUCUGGCUGUCCGAGUUGUAAUCUAGAGAAGUGUUGCCCGCUCCCGUCUCUGACAUGGACUACCAGGGCUUUUGUGGUGCGCUCUCAAAGAGUCGAGUUGUUUGGGAAUGCAGCUCAAAAUGGGUGGUAAAUUCCAUCUAAAGCUAAAUAUUGGCGAGAGACCGAUAGUGAACAAGUACCGUGAGGGAAAGAUGAAAAGAACUUUGGAAAGAGAGUUAAACAGUACGUGAAAUUGCUGAAAGNGAAACGCUUGAAGUCAGUCGCGUUGGCCAGGGAUCAGCCUUGCUUCUUAGUGUGGUGUACUUCCUGGUUGACGGGUCAGCAUCG